rnacentral:rRNA from 1 species
UACGAAGGGGGCUAGCGUUGCUCGGAAUUACUGGGUGUAAAGCGCACGUAGGCGGAUUGUUAAGUCGGGGGUGAAAUCCUGGAGCUCAACUCCAGAACUGCCUUCGAUACUGGCGAUCUCGAGUUCGGGAGAGGUGAGUGGAACUGCGAGUGUAGAGGUGAAAUUCGUAGAUAUUCGCAAGGACACCAGUGGCGAAGGCGGCUCACUGGCCCGAUACUGACGCUGAGGUGCGAAAGCGUGGGGAGCAAACAGG